CAUUUGGUUCCAAUUCGAAGUCACGUUAAAGCUCUCCUUUCCGGUUUUAAAUUCUCAAAUUAUGGCUAACAUUUCUCAUCUCCAUCGCUACCUUUACCAUGACUCCGCCGUCGACGACUCUCACCAGCGUCAUCACAACUACCGCCGUCCACACCGCCCUCGUAACUUAACUGUCGACCAUCUCUUCUCCUCUUCCUCUUCUGAUCCUCACUCCCCGCACGCCACUCUCCACGACCCCUACCCACUUUCCGAACACACUAAUUUCAAUAUUCGGACACUGGGCGACGACGACGUCUCGGAUCCUGAAUCGGUUAUCCUCGGAGGCCCAGAUCUCCUGGAUCGUGAGAAUCAGGUUAGUUUCGUGUUGGAUCUGUUUCAACAGCGAGUCGAGCAGUCUCAGGUAAUGGGUCGUAGUUCUCAUUUGGUAUCUGAUGCGCUUAACGAAUCGGACUUUGGUGUUAUAGAGGAGAAUUGUGAAUUGGGUAUGGGUAAUUUGGAGCUCGAUUUAGAGUUAGGGUUUUGAUUUAGACGGUCACGAGAAUGGUGCGUUUCAAAAUAUAGGCCAUAAUCAUAGUCACAGUGAUAAUAAUAAUGAUUAUAGCAGAAAUAUCGUUAUCGAUGAUGAUGAUGAUGAUGAUGAUGAUUUCUUUGUGGAGAGAAGGAUUUCCGGAAUUCAAUCUUGUGGGGCCGAGUCCACCGUUAGCUUUGGCACAAGUGCUAUGAGGGUGGCUGGGUUUGGGUCGGAUUCUGAUUCAGAGGAUAAUGAGAACUCGGUAGCUAUAGAUUUGUAUUCAGGGGAUGAGUAUGGAUUGGAUCGAGCGAAUAUUGAAAAUGAUAAUUAUGAUAAUGUUGAUGAAGAUGAUGAGGAAGAUGCAACCGUUACUAUUCCUCUUUGUUGGGAUUCACUUCAAUUGGAGGACCAUAGAGAAAACAAUGAGGAUUUUGAGUGGGAGGAAGUGGAUGGCCGUGUUGAUGAGAGAGACGUUCUAAGCAUGUUUGUUGAUGAUGAGGAGGCCUCUGUUUCUCUCUCCAUCUCGCCCAUUAUUGCCCCUGAGGAUAUGGUGAGUGUAGAGAGGGUAGGAGGAUUGGGAAAUUUGGAAUGGGAAGUUUUGUUGAACGCAAACAACUUCGACUCAAAUCUGGACCGCAUCCAGGACCAUAAUGCUGAGCUUUAUUUUGGGGACCAUGAUGAUUUUAUUUACACUUCUGAGUAUGAGAUGUUGUUUGGGCAAUUUGCAGAGAAUGAGAAUUCAUUGAUUGGUCGGCCUCCGGCAGCAAAAUCUGUUGUUGAGAAACUUCCAUAUGUGGUUUUGACAAAAGAGGAUGUUGAGAAUAAUAAUUCACUUUGUGCUGUUUGUAAAGAUGAGAUUAAUGUUGGAGAGAGGGCAAAGCAGUUGCCUUGCACACAUAGGUAUCAUGGGGAGUGCAUUGUGCCCUGGCUAGGGAUUAGGAAUACUUGCCCAGUAUGUCGAUAUGAGUUGCCUACAGAUGAUGCAGAUUAUGAGCGGAAGAAAGUAGCAGCAUCACAAGGAGCUGUUACUACUGGCC
rnacentral:misc_RNA from 1 species